GGAGAGGCUCAUAGCUCACUGGUAGAGGAUUUGCUUUCCAUGUAGAAGAUCCCGGGUUCAAUCCCUGACAUCUCCA